GGUUAAAAAGCUCGUAGUUGGAGUUCUGCCAGGUGCCACCUGUCCGCCCCAGUGGUGAGUACGUGGUGCGCAUUUGGCCCUUUCAAGGGGAGCGUAUUUGCACUUAAUUGUGUGGUGCGGGAUCCUUGACUUUUACUUUGAGGAAAUAAGAGUGUUCCAAGCAGGCUCUCGUCGUGCAUAGCUCAGCAUGGAAUAAUAGCAUUGGACCUCGAUUCUAAGCUGUUGGUUGCCAGAAGCGAGGUAAUGAUGAAGAGGGAUAGUUGGGGGCAUUCGUAUUUAACUGUCAGAGGUGAAAUUCUUGGAUUUGUUGAAGACGGACUACUGCGAAAGCAUCUGCCAUGGAUGUUUUCAUUGAUCAAGAACGAAAGUUAGGGGAUCGAAGACGAUCAGAUACCGUCCUAGUCUUAACCAUAAACUAUGCCGACUCGGGAUCGGGGGCGCGAACUAUCCGCCUUCGGCACCGUAUGAAAAAUCAAAGUCUUUGGGUUCUGGGGGGAGUAUGGUCGCAAGGCUGAAACUUAAAGGAAUUGA
rnacentral:rRNA from 1 species